UGGAGAGGUUUAGCAGCACGUCCGAGUGGACUAUUCCAGACACAGCCACGAGAGUACGGAGAAGGCGAGAUGCAAUUAGGAGAGCAAAAGUCCAAGCGGUUUGCUGCAGGAAUGUUUGCGAGGGUGCUGGGAAAGCUUUAAAAAGCUAGCGCUAAGUUUAGAAGAGGUUCCUCCCCAGGAUGGGACCUCUUGAGCUCUGCUGCUUCCAGCCAGUGGAUCCUUUCUACAAGACUGCUCCUGUUCCAGCUCAAUGAAGGCCUUGUCCCGUGGCACCACACUGCCCAAGGAACGGGCGUCUCCAAAGAAUUCAGAGAGAAGGCAACGUUCAGACUGUUGGUGUUCUGAUGGAAAGUGGAGAAGAGGAACCAGUUUGGCGGUGGUGUAACGUGGCAACUGACAACAGAAACUGGAAAGACACCUCUCCUUAGCUCACGCACACACA